GCAACAAAAGAUACUACCCAAUCCACCGCUCCAUUGACCUCUCUAAACACGUGCUUCGUCUGAAGCAUCAAUCCGUCAUGAACCAUGAUCCGGAUAUCUCUCAAGAGCAGGUGGUAGUCGCCGUCCCCUUUCGAAACCUGCAAAAUCCACCCAAACGACAAAGAAUCUUCGGAGGGGGUCGUUACAUACCAAGCACUGGAUAGGGUUGUAGUACUAGGUAGAAGGCAAUUAGCGCCUGGUAAAAGUAUUGUCGUGACAAACGUGUUGGAUGAAUCCAUUGAAGUCAUCUUCACGCUGUCAACUUAUGAUUAACUUAGCUAAUAUCAGUAUAGCU
rnacentral:lncRNA from 1 species